GCCCUGGUGGCACAGUGGUUAAAGUACUCAGCUGCUAACUGAAAGGUUGGUGGUUCAAACCCACCAGUGGCA
rnacentral:tRNA from 1 species